rnacentral:rRNA from 1 species
GUGCCAGCAGCCGCGGUAAUACGUAGGGCGCAAGCGUUAUCCGGAAUUAUUGGGCGUAAAGAGCUCGUAGGCGGUUUGUCGCGUCUGCUGUGAAAAUCCGGAGGCUCAACCUCCGGCCUGCAGUGGGUACGGGCAGACUAGAGUGCGGUAGGGGAGAUUGGAAUUCCUGGUGUAGCGGUGGAAUGCGCAGAUAUCAGGAGGAACACCGAUGGCGAAGGCAGAUCUCUGGGCCGUAACUGACGCUGAGGAGCGAAAGGGUGGGGAGCAAACAGGCUUAGAUACCCUGGUAGUCC